rnacentral:lncRNA from 1 species
AUGUGGUUUGCAGACUCCAAGGAGCAGAAGAAGAUGGAGACCCCCAAAACGAGUUCCUUCCCAGCCAAGAAGGCGGCCCCUCCGCCACCACCCGUUCCGGCCAAGGCCAAGCCGGCCCCCACAGCACCCCAAAAGUACUCCAAUGGCCCCGUUUCCUUCCCUGCCACCCCUGCGGUGAAGGCCAAAGCCAAAGGGACAGAAACCGACACUUUGGACGCGGUUGUGACUCCUGGGGUCAAACUGACCCAUCCCACGGCCAACCGCCCCAAGAUGCCCGGCAAGAGGCCACCCAACCAGCUGGUUGAGAAAGGGCCUGUUCACCCCUCGAACCCGGCAGAAAACCCCCAAAACCCUGAACAGCAGUCUCCCCAUCCAAUGUCUGAAAAAACCACAAAUGAAGAAUCAUUGACAUCUGUGGACGACUUCAAGGCCGAACUCCGGACACUGAGGGGCCUCAUGGACCUGAUGCAAACCCAGCAUCGGAAAGAAAUUGAAGAGUUGAAGGCGGAAAUGAGCCGUGAACAGGCCAAGAGGGAAGCUCUGCAGGUCGACAUUGAGCACCUGAGGCAAGCGCUGGCCAUUCCUAGACGGGGUGGACCAGACCCCAAAAAGCUCAGCCCCACUCUGAACCUGGAUCUGGCGGAUCCCCAGGGCUCUCCGUUCACUUUGGAUGCAUUCAUGAUUCCCACCAAGGACUGA